GACGAACGCUGGCGGCGUGCUUAACACAUGCAAGUCGAACGGAAAGGCCCUGUUUUUGUGGGGUGUUCGAGUGGCGCACGGGUGUGUAUCACGUGAGUAACCUGCCCUUUACUUUGGGAUACCUUCUGGGAACUGGAGUUCUUAUCGGAUAGGAGCUCCUGAUACAUGGUGUGGGUUGUAGAGUUGCGGCGUUUGGGGAUGCACGCGCGGCUUAUGGGCUUGUUGGUGGGGUGGUGGGUUACCAAGGCGCGGACGGGUAGCCGGCCUGAGAGGGUGACCGGCCACAUUGGGACUGAGAUGCGGCCCAGAGUGAUACGGGAGGCAGAAGUGGAGAAUAGUGCAAAAUGGGCGGAAGGAUGGUGCAGCAACGCCGCGUGCGGGAUGACGGCCUUCAGGGUAGAAACCGCGUUCGCGUGUGACGCAGCGUGAGUGACGGUAAUGGGUAAAGAAGCACCGGCUAACUACGUG
rnacentral:rRNA from 1 species